rnacentral:rRNA from 1 species
CUUGGUCAUUUAGAGGAAGUAAAAGUCGUAACAAGGUCUCCGUAGGUGAACCUGCGGAGGGAUCAUUACAAAGCAUUUUUGCUCAACCCUGUUUACUGUUCUGUUGCUUAGGAGGCGCCCCUCGGGAGGGGAUCUGCUUCGGCCGCCUCCGAAAGCAUGUAAAAUUAUUAUUAUCUGUGGAAAUUCUGAAAACACAAAACAUUAAAACCUCAACAACGGAUCUCUUGGUUACAGCAUCGAUGAAGAACGCAGCUAGAUGCGAUACGUGAUGUGAAUCGCAUAGCCAUGAUACAUCGAGUUUUUGAACGCACAUUGCACUUGGAGGUACUCUUCCAAGUCUGUCUGUUCGAGCGUCGUUUCACCCCUCAGGCUUGCCUGGUUGUGGGGUCGGCAACUGCCGGUCCUCAAGUACAUUGACGGAACCUACGGUCCAGAUGCAGUCACGCUUCGUCUGAAACCCGACGGCACUCUUGUCUGUUUUACUCUACUCUGAAACAUGACCUCGAAUCAGAUGGGGAUACCCGCUGAACUUAAGCAUAUCAAUAAGCGGAGGA